rnacentral:rRNA from 1 species
CUGCUGCCUCCCGUAGGAGUCUGGUCCGUGUCUCAGUACCAGUGUGGGGGACCUUCCUCUCAGAACCCCUACGCAUCGUCGCCUCGGUGGGCCGUUACCCCGCCGACCAGCUAAUGCGACGCAUGGCCAUCCUAUGCCGGAGUCGCCUCCUUUGACCCCCUGGAGAUGUCUCCAAAUGGUGUUAUGCGGUAUUAGACGGAAUUUCUUCCGCUUAUCCCCCCUGCAUAGGGCAGGUUCCAUACGUGUUACUCACCCGUGCGCCGG